GUCUAUAAACUUUCGAAAUAGCCUGCAGAUGCUUCAUAUGCCUUGACAGAUCUUAGGAGAAGAAGGAAACACAGCAGACUGGAGAGAGCUCAGUUCUAUGGACAUGUCAGACUGGAGCUACCACAGGUAUCCUGGCAAAGGAGAGCUCAGCUGUGAACUGGAUCCCAUGGCUACUAUGUGGACUUCUAACUGUGGACACGUGUUUGUUUCUUUGUUGGAUCAAGAUAUAGAACUCUUAGCUCCUUCUCAAGAACCGUAUCUGCCUGAAUGCUGCCAUGCUUCUGUCCUCGAUAGUAACGGGCUGAACCUCAGAAUCUGUAAGCCAGCCCCAA
rnacentral:sRNA from 1 species